GACGAACGCUGGCGGCGUGCUUAACACAUGCAAGUCGAACGAAGAGCGAUGGAAGCUUGCUUCUAUCAAUCUUAGUGGCGAACGGGUGAGUAACGCGUAAUCAACCUGCCCUUCAGAGGGGGACAACAGUUGGAAACGACUGCUAAUACCGCAUACGAUCUGACCUCGGCAUCGAGGAUAGAUGAAAGGUGGCCUCUAUUUAUAAGCUAUCACUGAAGGAGGGGAUUGCGUCUGAUUAGCUAGUUGGAGGGGUAACGGCCCACCAAGGCGAUGAUCAGUAGCCGGUCUGAGAGGAUGAACGGCCACAUUGGGACUGAGACACGGCCCAGACUCCUACGGGAGGCAGCAGUGGGGAAUCUUCCGCAAUGGACGAAAGUCUGACGGAGCAACGCCGCGUGAGUGAUGACGGCCUUCGGGUUGUAAAGCUCUGUUAAUCGGGACGAAAGGCCUUCUUGCGAAUAGUUAGAAGGAGAGACGGUACCG
rnacentral:rRNA from 1 species